rnacentral:rRNA from 1 species
GUGCAGCAGGCGCGAAUACUUUACAAUGUGCGAAAGCACGAUAAGGGAACUCUGAGUGCCUCCUAAGGAGGCUGUUCUGAUGUCUAAAAGCAACAGAAGUAAGGGCUGGGUAAGACCGGUGCCAGCCGCCGCGGUAACACCGGCAGCCCAAGUGGUAGCCACGUUUAUUGGGUCUAAAGCGUUCGUAGCCGGCCAGGUAAGUUCCUUGGUAAAUUUAGCCGCUUAACGGUUAAGCUUUCGGGGAAUACUGCUUGGCUUGGGACUGGGGAGAGGUCAGAGGUACUCCGGGGGUAGGGGUGAAAUCUAUUAAUCCCUGGGGGACCACCGGUAGCGAAGGCGUCUGACCAGACCAGGUCCGACAGUGAGGGACGAAGGCUAGGGGCGCGAACCGGAUUAGAUACCCCUGUAGU